CAAGGACUUAAAGGAGAAGAAGGAAGUUGUGAAAGACGCGGAAAAUGGAAGAGACGCCCCUGCUAACGGGAAUGCUAAUGAGGAAAAUGGGGAGCAGGAGGCUGACAAUGAGGUAGAUGAAGAAGGGGAAGAAAGUGAUGGUGAGGAAGAGGAUGGAGAUGAAGAGGAAGCUGAGUCUGCUACAGGCAAGCGGGCAGCUGAAGAUGAUGAGGAUGAUGAUGUCGAUACCAAGAAGCAGAAGACCGACAAGGAUGACUAGACAGCAAAAAAGGAAAAGUUAAACUAAAAAAAAAAGGCCGCCAUGACCUAUUCACCCUCCAUUUCCUGUCUCAGAAUCUAAACGUAGUCACCUUCCAGUAUUGAGGCCCGCCCCCCCACCAUGGGCAGUGCCACCCACAGAUGACACACACUCUCCACCACCCAACCUAAACCGUAAGAAUUUGCAACAGGGGAGGAAAAAAGAACCAAAACUUCCAAGGCCCUGCUUUUUUUCUUUUUUUCUUUUUUCUUUUUUUUGAGGCAGAGUCUUGCUCUGUCACCCAGGCUGGAGUGCAGUGGUGCGAUCUCGG
rnacentral:lncRNA from 1 species